GUAAAUCACUUACUCUGAUGUUGUUCCUUCCAAAAAGUUUAAUUUCACGUCACAAACCAAAAAAUUUAGUUACUAAAAGUAUUUAUGAGCUUAUAGUUGUCUAUGUAUAAGUUAAAUGAGAGUGCUUCUCAAAAACUUCAACUCAGAAGCUAAUUUUGACUUUUGGAUAAGCUAAAUGAGCUUAUAGUUGUUUACGGAUAAGCUGUUGGAAUAUUAGUGCUUCUAGAGAAGUUUACCCAAACUAUCUCAAAAUGUUGACACAGCCAUCAUUAGUUAAUGGCAGUUAUUAGUUUGUAUUAAGAUAGCCAAGUAUAGGUUUAUCCACCCAUGCAUCUACAGAAAUUCGUUCUUUCGAUAAUUCAACUCAACCAAUGGCAGCUAGCAAUAGUGUCCCAUACAGUUUUUCAGAAAGUGUUACUCUUCAGACAAUGGACAGUCAACGAAAUCGAAAUGAGCAGAGGAAUCACCCUGUCGCUUCAGGUGGUGUUGAUUCAUUGGACACUUUGUUCAAUGGCAGAUUGCAAAGUCAGGACAGCUUUGGAAUGUGGGUGAACCAAAUCAUGUCUGAUUCCCCUUGUUCAGUCAAUGAGUUGGCUCUUAAAUCCCCAGUUUCAUCUAUUAAUGAACCGUAUUCACCUUUAGUCUUGGAUAAUCAGCAACUCUCUCUUUCAGAACAAGUGUUUAAUCUCAUCGAUGUCUCCUCUGCGUGUGUUUCUUCCACAGAGAAAUCACAGGUCCUGGUGACUGGAUUCUUUCAUGAAGACUACAUGCACAUCUCUAAAACCAAUCUAAUGUGUGUCUGUGGUGAUGCAAGUGUUCCUGCAGAAAUUGUUCAUGAUGGAGUCUACCGAUGCUGGAUACCACCGCAUUCGAAAGGCCAAAGUGUCAUCCAUUUGUGUGCAAUUUUAGGAUAUACAUGGGCUGUUACUUUAUUUUCAUGGUCAGGCUUGUCGCUUGAUUUUCGGGAUAAAUUUGGAUGGACUGCACUUCAUUGGGCAGCAUAUUACGGCAGACAAUGUUAGUAAAUUAGUGGUUAUGUUAGUAUCCAGUUUUGAACCCGUGACCUCCUUCUUAAACUCCUCCGGUGUCCCUAGCUCACUAACUGAGCUACAUACGCAGGACCAGAGAAUACCCUUUGGAGAAAAUGGUUGCAACUUUAUUGUCAGCUGGGGCAAAGCCUAACUUGGUCACAGAUCCAACUCACCAAAAUCCUGUUGGAUGUACUGCUGCUGAUCUUGCUUAUAAUAGGGGUUAUCAUGGCUUAUCAGCUUAUCUUUCGGAAAAGUCUCUAGUUGAGCAGUUCAAUGACAUGAGCUUAGCUGGAAAUAUCAGUGGCUCACUGGAAACUAAUACGGAUGAUCCAGUAAAUUCUGAGAACUUUUCCCA